AUACGUAGGGGGCAAGCGUUAUCCGGAAUUACUGGGCGUAAAGGAUGCGUAGGUGGAUAUUUAAGUGGGAUGUGAAAUCCCCGGGCUCAACCCGGGAACUGCAUUCCAAACUGGGUAUCUAGAGUGCAGGAGAGGAGAAGGGAAUUCCUAGUGUAGCGGUGAAAUGCGUAGAGAUUAGGAAGAACACCAGUGGCGAAGGCGCUUCUCUGGACUGUAACUGACGCUGAGGCUCGAAAGCGUGGGGAGC
rnacentral:rRNA from 1 species